rnacentral:misc_RNA from 1 species
ACUCAUUAUUUUUUAUCCUGAAUCUACUAGAAUAUUUUUCUCAUAAGAAGACAAAAAUCACGAACAAUUUAUCCCAGAAUUUUUAUCACGCUCAUAUAUUUAACGAAGAGGAACAUGAUUUUCCAAAAUUUGAUAUAGUAAACAAAAUAAGUACCAACUUCAAUCCUUGGACUUUUAACUAGAAUGGCGACUCCGGCAAAAUUAUGUAACAUCCUUAGAGGAAUCACCAGACUCUCCCUAGAUUACAGUAUCACGCUGAGUAGCCUGAACUCAUUUGCUGGAUCCCAGAUCCAUACUAGUGCUGCGUGUAGUGCUAGUAAGUUUAAGCGGGCCAUGCGUCCAAAUGUAGAUACGUCCUUAGGGAUGGGCCGCACUCGCUAUGACAAGGUUGUGGAAUCUAUGGACAAGUACACGGUGAGACCAUUGAAGAUGCAUAAUGGAGCAGGCAGGGGCCCAGAUGGUCGAAUCUGGACACAUGGAAUUGGAGGUGGAGCUAAGAGAAAUUUCCGCAUGGUUGAUUUUGUUCGUAAAGGAAUAAAUGAAACUGAGCCAUUGGUUGAGAAGGUUGACACCAUUAUUUAUGAUCCAAACAGGAGUGCAAUCUUAGCUCUUGUUGCAAGUGGAACUCAUAAACGUUACAUCAUAGCUACAGAGAAUAUGAAGAAAGGAGAUAUCAUAAAAAGUUCUAGCCAUAUACCCAGGAUGGCAGUGAAACCAAGAGAAGGAGACUCCCACCCACUAGGAGCACUACCUAUAAACACAAUAGUUUGUUGUAUCGAGCUGUUCCCUGGCCAAGGUGGGAUUCUUGCCAGAGCUGGGAAUUCAUCAGGUCAACUCAUUAGAAAAGUUGAUGGACGAUGUAUUAUUAAAAUACCAUCUAAACGAGAAAUUAACGUUUCUGAACAUUGUGUUGCAACAGUUGGCAGAACAAUGUUGAAAGAAGGACGUGAUGUCAUUGGAAAAGCUGGACGGAAUCGAUGGUUAGGAAUUAGACCCCAGUCUGGAUUGUGGCAUAGGAAAACAGGACGCUUUGGGAGAAAACUUCGAGCUCCCCCUGCUAUGGUUACAUACAAUAAGCCUAAACCCCCUCCCCCAACUAUAUACCAGUUUUCUUCCUAGUUUAUUGAACAUGUGAAUAGUAGUUAUAAAUAUCAUGUUUUGCCAACAUAAUAAUCUGAUUCCUGUAUUCUGUGACUUCUUUUGUGAAAAAGUGCUUCAAAACACAUGUUUCUGUUGUCUUUUCAAAAGAGAAUAAGGGCUUCAUGUAUGUCAGAGCCCUGUCUCAUGAACAGGAUUUAGGGAAGUAGUGUGAUUGUUUAUUGAAUUCUGCACAUUCUGUUAAUAAAUAAGAAGUCAAUUAAACAGUCAGUGAUUAUGAAUAAUAUGCAUUUAAAAUGUGCUCCAUUCAGUAAAUAAUUAUGAUCUAUAACCAACUAUAAGAAGUACAGUACAGUAGUCAGUAUUCAUUUUUUUAGGAAAUUCUGUACAAUAUUCUGUUUCCAAAUCAGGUUAUGAUUUCUUGAUCUGUUUUAACAUUUCAAUCUGGAAAAAUAAAAACCUAGUAAUAUUAACUGUAUAAAUUAUGUGUUUAAUCAAUGAUUAUUAUCCCACCAAACGAAUUUUGUAGGGAUAUGAAGAAGCUCACCAUCCAUCUGUUCGUGUGUCUGCCCGUGUGUCAGGGCAUUUAUUUAAUUUUGUCAAUUUUGCUCAAAUGAGACAAAUGCUCAAAUGCCUGGUUAUUAUGUCAACACCACAAGUGGGGACAUAUUGUUAUGGUCUCCA